rnacentral:rRNA from 1 species
UACGGGGGGGGUAAGCGUUGUUCGGAAUUACUGGGCGUAAAGGGCUCGUAGGCGGCCAACUAAGUCAUACGUGAAAUCCCUCAGCUUAACUGGGGAACUGCGUGUGAUACUGGAUGGCUUGGAUUUGGGAGAGGGAUGCGGAAUUCCAGGUGUAGCGGUGAAAUGCGUAGAUAUCAGGAAGAACACCAAUGGCGAAAGCAGCUCUCUGGGACGGUACUGACGCUGAGACGCGAAAGCGUGGGGAGCGAACAGG